rnacentral:misc_RNA from 1 species
GUGAAGAACGUAGCGAAAUGCGAUAAGUAGUGUGAAUUGCAGAAUUCAGUGAAUCAUCGAAUCUUUGAACGCACAUUGCGCCCCUUGGUAUUCCAUGGGGCAUGCCUGUUCGAGCGUCAUUUGUACCUUCAAGCUUUGCUUGGUGUUGGGUGUUUGUCCAUUCUCUUGCAGAGGGACUCGCCUUAAAGUAAUUGGCAGCCAGUGUUUUGGUUUUGAAGCGCAGCACAAGUCGCGAUUCAACGCUAUACGCCAGCUUCCACAAGCCUUUUUCACUUUUGACCUCGGAUCAGGUAGGGAUACCCGCUGAACUUAAGCAUAUCAAUAAGCGGAGGA